CAGCAGCCGCGGUAAUACGGAGGGUGCAAGCGUUAUCCGGAUUUAUUGGGUUUAAAGGGUCCGCAGGCGGACUAAUAAGUCAGUGGUGAAAUCUCUCGGCUCAACCGAGAAACUGCCAUUGAUACUGUUAGUCUAGAGUGUAGUUGGCGUAGGCGGAAUGUAUCAUGUAGCGGUGAAAUGCUUAGAUAUGAUACAGAACACCGAUCGCGAAGGCAGCUUACGAAACUACAACUGACGCUCAGGGACGAAAGCGUGGGGAGCGAACAGGAUUAGAUACCCUGGUAGUCCACGCUGUAAACGAUGAUUACUCGUUGUCGGCGAUAUACUGUCGGUGGCUAAGCGAAAGUGAUAAGUAAUCCACCUGGGGAGUACGAUCGCAAGGUUGAAACUCAAAGGAAUUGACGGGGGCCCGCACAAGCGGAGGAGCAUGUGGUUUAAUUCGAUGAUACGCGAGGAACCUUACCUGGGCUUAAAUGCUUAAUGACGUACCGGGAAACUGGUAUUUCUUCGGACAUUUUGCAAGGUGCUGCAUGGUUGUCGUCAGCUCGUGCCGUGAGGUGUCGGGUUAAGUCCCAUAACGAGCGCAACCCCUAUUGUUAGUUGCCAUCAGGUAAUGCUGGGGACUCUAACAAAACUGCCCGCGUAAGCGUGGAGGAAGGUGGGGAUGACGUCAAAUCAGCACGGCCCUUACGUCCAGGGCUACACACGUGCUACAAUGGCCGGUACAGAGGGCAGCCACUUGGUGACAAGGAGCAAAUCUCAAAAGCCGGUCUCAGUUCGGAUCGGAGUCUGCAACUCGACUCCGUGAAGUUGGAUUCGCUAGUAAUCGUAGAUCAGCAAUGCUACGGUGAAUACGUUCCCGGGCCUUGUACACACCGGCCGUCAAACAAUGGAAGCUUGGGGUAC
rnacentral:rRNA from 1 species